CCACCUGUGCUCCACCCAUUUACGGUCCAUGUGCCCCACCUGAGCUCCACACUUUUCCCAUUAAUUUCCUAGUUAGAGCCGGAGAGUCGUACCUGUUCUUUCAGGUCAAACUCUCUCAUGUGGUCCAUAUCAAUAUCAGAUAAAUGAUAGAUGCUGUCCUAUGUGUCCACCUGGAAGCUGAAAACACUUUUCUCUGGGAGUGUGUUACCUGUCCUGGUUUGGAGUUACAUUUCUCUUGGUCCUAAAUCUGUGUUGGUUCAAACAGACGAGGAAUCUGUGCUGGUCUUCUGUUACAGAGAGAAUGAGACCUGGAUCAGCUGCAGUGUUUCUGAUUCUCCUGCUGAACGUCUCCACAGGUCAAACUCAGACAUGUGGUCCAUACAGUUAUGAGACACCUGGUGGAUGCUGUCCUAUGUGUCCACCUGGAGGUUGGGUUUAUGAAGACUGCACAGACCAGAAG